rnacentral:rRNA from 1 species
UACGGGGGGAGCAAGCGUUGUUCGGAUUUACUGGGCGUAAAGGGGGCGUAGGCGGUCGUGACAAGUCACUUGUGAAAUCUCCGGGCUUAACUCGGAACGGUCAAGUGAUACUGUCGGACUAGAGUACAGAAGGGGCAACUGGAAUUCUCGGUGUAGCGGUGAAAUGCGUAGAUAUCGAGAGGAACACCAGUGGCGAAGGCGCUGCUCUGGGCCGGUACUGACGCUGAGGAGCGAAAGCGUGGGUAGCAAACAGG